rnacentral:rRNA from 1 species
GACAGCAGUCGCCGCGGGAAUACGGAAGGUGCGAGCGUUAAUCGGAAUUACUGGGCGUAAAGCGUACGCAGGCGGUUUGUUAAGUCAGAUGUGAAAUCCCCGAGCUUAACUCGGGAACUGCAUUUGAAACUGGCAGGCUAGAGUCUCGUAGAGGGGGGUAGAAUUCCAGGUGUAGCGGUGAAAUGAGUAGAGAUCUUGAGGAAUACCGGUGGCGAAGGCGGCCCCCUGGACGAAGACUGACGCUCAGGUACGAAAGCGUGGGGAGCAAACAGGAUUAGAUACCCCAGUAGUCCCUGUCUCUUAUAC